GCCGUCGUGGGCCAUGGUGGUCGCCCUCAUUUCAUAGUGUUUCCAGAAUCCAGUACAAGAGGGAGACGGGGGUUCGAUUCCUCCCGACGGCA